GAGCAAGAAGCAAAAUUUUGCAUUUAGUUUCGACCUAAAAUUAUGAUUUAUUAUCCUUGCUUA
rnacentral:tRNA from 1 species